rnacentral:hammerhead_ribozyme from 1 species
CUCUACCUGAGGAGUCCCAUAAUAGGACGAAAUGGCAAUACCAGACGCCAGUAGAC